rnacentral:misc_RNA from 1 species
GAUGAAGAACGUAGCGAACUGCGAUAAGUAAUGUGAAUUGCAGAAUUCAGUGAAUCAUCGAGUCUUUGAACGCACAUUGCGCCCCCUGGCAUUCCGGGGGGCAUGCCUGUCCGAGCGUCAUUGCUGCCCUUCAAGCCCGGCUUGUGUGUUGGGUCGUCGUCCCCCCCGGGGGACGGGCCCGAAAGGCAGCGGCGGCACCGCGUCCGGUCCUCGAGCGUAUGGGGCUUUGUCACCCGCUCGAUUAGGGCCGGCCGGGCGCCAGCCGGCGUCUCCAACCUUCUAUUUUACCAGGUUGACCUCGGAUCAGGUAUGGAUACCCGCUGAACUUAAGCAUAUCAAUAGCGGAGGA